rnacentral:rRNA from 1 species
UACGUAGGGCGCAAGCGUUGUCCGGAUUUAUUGGGCGUAAAGAGCGUGUAGGCGGCCAUGUAGGUCCGUUGUGAAAACUCGAGGCUCAACCUCGAGACGCCGAUGGAAACCAUGUGGCUAGAGUCCGGAAGAGGAGAGUGGAAUUCCUGGUGUAGCGGUGAAAUGCGCAGAUAUCAGGAAGAACACCCGUGGCUAAGGCGGCUCUCUAGUACGGUACUGACGCUGAGACGCGAAAGCGUGGGGAGCGAACAGG